rnacentral:rRNA from 1 species
AUUGAACGCUGGCGGCAGGCUUAACACAUGCAAGUCGAGCGGAGAUGAGGUGCUUGCACCUUAUCUUAGCGGCGGACGGGUGAGUAAUGCUUAGGAAUCUGCCUAUUAGUGGGGGACAACAUUCCGAAAGGAAUGCUAAUACCGCAUACGUCCUACGGGAGAAAGCAGGGGAUCUUCGGACCUUGCGCUAAUAGAUGAGCCUAAGUCGGAUUAGCUAGUUGGGGGGGUAAAGGCCGACCAAGGCGACGAGCUGUAGCGGGUCUGAGAGGAUGAUCCGCCACACUGGGACUGAGACACGGCCCAGACUCCUACGGGAGGCAGCAGUGGGGAAUAUUGGACAAUGGGGGGAACCCUGAUCCAGCCAUGCCGCGUGUGUGAAGAAGGCCUUAUGGUUGUAAAGCACUUCAAGCGAGGAGGAGGCUACUGAGACUAAUACUCUUGGAUAGUGGACGUUACUCGCAGAAUAAGCACCGGCUAACUCUGUGCCAGCCGCCGCCGUAA